AUGCAUGCACUUGAGAAAGAGGUGAGGAGCGUCCUCAUCAAUAUCAUAAACAAUCGGCUCAACUGCAAGGAGACCAUGGGAUACGGGAACGACAUGCUUGGAAUAAUCAUGAAUACAUGCGCGCUAGAGCACGCACACAACCCACUCAUGAGUAUGGACGAGAUCAUAGAAGAGUGCAAGACCUUCUACUUAGCAGGCCAUGAGACCACCACACAGUUGCUCACCUGGACCAUGUUCUUGUUAAGCACACACUCAGAGUGGCAAGAGAAUCUCAGGGAGGAGGUGAUGAGAGAGUGUGGCAGGGAAAUCCCUACUGCUGACGUGGUCAACAAUAUGAAACUGGUCAACAUGUUCAUUCUAGAAACACUUAGGCUAUAUGGCCCUGUCACAAACAUCUAG
rnacentral:rRNA from 1 species